AAUUCGUGUUUGCGGGCACUUUCUCAGGAGCUCCUUGAACCUUUCCCACAUCUCAAAUAGACACUCCAAUUCUAAUUGUACAAAGGAUGAAAUCUGAUUCCUAAGCUU